UCAUGUAAUGGUAUUAUGUAUAGCGUUAAUGCACCGGAUCCCAUUAGAAAUCUGUAGUUAAGUGCACUUGGGCUAGAGUAGUACUGGGAUGGGUGAUCACCUGGGAAGUCCUAGUAUUUUACAUGCC
rnacentral:rRNA from 1 species